rnacentral:rRNA from 1 species
GAUGCACGCUGGCGGCGUGCCUAAUACAUGCAAGUCGAGCGAACGGACGAGAAGCUUGCUUCUCUGAUGUUAGCGGCGGACGGGUGAGUAACACGUGGAUAACCUACCUAUAAGACUGGGAUAACUUCGGGAAACCGUAGCUAAUACCGGAUAAUAUUUUGAACCGCAUGGUUCAAAAGUGAAAGACGGUCUUGCUGUCACUUAUAGAUGGAUCCGCGCUGCAUUAGCUAGUUGGUAAGGUAACGGCUUACCAAGGCAACGAUGCAUAGCCGACCUGAGAGGGUGAUCGGCCACACUGGAACUGAGACACGGUCCAGACUCCUACGGGAGGCAGCAGUAGGGAAUCUUCCGCAAUGGGCGAAAGCCUGACGGAGCAACGCCGCGUGAGUGAUGAAGGUCUUCGGAUCGUAAAACUCUGUUAUUAGGGAAGAACAUAUGUGUAAGUAACUGUGCACAUCUUGACGGUACCUAAUCAGAAAGCCACGGCUAACUACGUG